rnacentral:snoRNA from 1 species
CUGGGUGUGAUGCACACUAACAUCUGACCUGACAAUGAAGGUGUUUGUAUUCAUACUGUCUGAUCCAG